CUUUGCAUCUCCCUCUUGCCUUCCCCUCGCCCCAUUUUCAUCAUAGUCUUGUGUUCCCCUGUCACCUGGCUUCAGUUAGAAAGACAAGAAUAAACAGGAAAAUUACUUGCAGAAGAUAGUUUGAGAAUCAUCCCACCUGUUGCCUGCCUGAACCAAGAACCAGAUCCCAGAGAAGGACUGUGCCAUACUAGUUGGUUGCAGAUCUACUAGGAUCCUAACGUUGUGAGAGAUCUAACAGGUCGUGAUUCCUGGGCAGAUGCUUAUUCCUAUCUCUGGCUGCUGACCCUUGGUUUGACUUUCUGGUUCCUGGUUUUUGGCCAUGAACGUUUGCCUCAUUUCAAGUUCUGGACACAGGCCCUAACCUUUGGGCUGGAUAGCCCCUGCUCCAGUCUGUAAUCCUAGACAGCCACCAGGUCAUCUGUAGUAGAGAGUACUCUAAUUUACUCAAUAACAAAUAAAAUCU